ACGGAUCACGCCGCGUGAGUGAUGAAGGUUUUCGGAUCGUAAAACUCUGUUGUUAGGGAAGAACAAUGCAUAGUAACUGAUGGCACCUUGACGGUACCUAACCAGAAAGCCACGGCUAACUACGUGCCAGCAGCCGCGGUAAUACGUAGGUGGCAAGCGUUGUCCGGAAUUAUUGGGCGUAAGGCGCUCGCAGGCGGUUCUUUAAGUCUGAUGUGAAAUCUUACGGCUCAACCGUAAACGUGCAUUGGAAACUGGGGAACUUGAGUGCAGAAGAGGAGAGUGGAAUUCCACGUGUAGCGGUGAAAUGCGUAGAGAUGUGGAGGAACACCAGUGGCGAAGGCGACUCUCUGGUCUGUAACUGACGCUGAGGAGCGAAAGCGUGGGGAGCGAACAGGAUUAGAUACCCUGGUAGUCCACGCCGUAAACGAUGAGUGCUAGGUGUUAGGGGGUUUCCGCCCCUUAGUGCUGAAGUUAACGCAUUAAGCACUCCGCCUGGGGAGUACGG
rnacentral:rRNA from 1 species